GAAUGUUUCCCUUGGAAACUUGCUGUCAUAUCCUUUUGUAAGAGAAGCUGUUGUCAACAAGCAACUGUCCAUAAGGGGUGCACAUUACAACUUUGUCUCUGGAGCUUUUGAGCUUUGGAAUCUUGACUUUAAUAUUUCACCUUCUCUAGCUGUUUAAAAAUGACCAUACAAUACCAUCUCGACGACGAUAAUCAACCUCGGCCGAUCGGUUAUUUUUGAGUUUCUUCCCUUUCCGCAAUCUGUCCGUAUUCUGUUUCUGUAAUUUGAUCUAUGAGGCUCAUGAAGAAGCAUUUAUUUAUAUACUUGCAAGGAUGAUCCGCUCAA
rnacentral:misc_RNA from 1 species